GAAAACAGAAGAGGAGCGUUACCCAGGUAUCGAUGAUUGCGGGGCCCCACCCCAAAGCAAUCUUGAGAGGGGGAGUAACGCCGAGAUAUGGCAUGACAGGGGGCAUGGCAUAUCGGCUUUGAAGGUUGAAUCCUUCUGGCUGUCAUCUUUCUUACAGACGGGAAAGAUGGGGAGCUUCUGGUCGU
rnacentral:ncRNA from 2 species